rnacentral:lncRNA from 1 species
AAUUAUGACGAAUGGCUAACUAACCUAACUAACUAACUAGUGCCCCACCCAAGCUCUCAUAACCCUCGUAGGGAACCCCUGUAUGGAAACCUGCUUUCGAUUGAGUGCGAGAUUUAGGGAUGAAUGAUCUUUUUUCACGCUUCCCAGGCUGAGGCAAAGAAUGGGGGGACUUCCAGUUAUACUUCUACUCGGUUUAUGGAUAACAUAAGCUGGGGUAUGUGACUUACUAGGGCAAUCACUUACUGAUUAGCAGCAUCUUGUCUGAGCGAGUGAGCGUGAAGGCAUCAAAAGAGGAGCGUAGCAGCUCCCCCGAUAGGGAGAGGAGCAGGGGCCAUCUCUUGCCUCUUGCGAACAUCUGGGCAAUCAACUCAAUUCCCACAAUCUGAAGGCUAUUUGUUCUCGAAUAUGCGAGAUGGACAAACUCGGCUUCAUCUAAUGCUUGCUCUCAUCUUGCUAAGAAGUUAGCACUACCUUAUUCGCUUACCAGAGAGCUUAACCAAUAAGAAAUCCUUCUUUAUUAAAGAAAGCACGGCAAUGCGCAAUCGCUAAACAAGCCACUAAAACUACCCACUAAUGCAGUCUAUUGCUCCUAUAGGGAAUAGAGACU